rnacentral:misc_RNA from 1 species
AACCUAGCACACCUGCGGUGUGUACCUGCGGAGGGAUCAUUACCGAGUUUACAACCCCCAAACCCCUGUGAACAUACCUAUACGUUGCCUCGGCGGAUCAGCCCGCGCCCCGUAAAAAGGGACGGCCCGCCCGAGGACCCCUAAACUCUGUUUUUAGUGGAACUUCUGAGUAAAACAAACAAAUAAAUCAAAACUUUUAACAAUGGAUCU